rnacentral:lncRNA from 1 species
UUUUUAUUUUUUAUUUUUUUGGUGCAACUGUGUAAUUAUUCUUCCUUGUAUCUUUGUAGAAUUCUUUGAGUAUGUCUUCUUCAAGCCACAAGAGUGACAAUGGUGUGUCACCGUUGUAUCGCCAAGGCAGCUCUUUGGGUAAAGUGGGCUACUUCAAGGCUGCUCACUUCAAAAUUAGCUCUAAUGACUCGUUUAGAGAUUUUUAGAGAUUUUCUUGACAAUAUAGAAGCAGCUGGCGUAACUGAUGAAAAACACAACAACAAAAAAUUGAUGGUGUUCCAAUAUUUUAGCGAAAAACACACUCUUUUUUAUAAUGAGAGAUUCAAAAGUUCAAAAUAUAUGGAAUGAGAAAGAUCACAUUAAUAGGCAUCAACGUUUAACCUAUGAUAUCUUCAUAUGAAGCUACUCAGCCUCUCCCAAUAGAAUCAAUUGAAAAUUAGCAGAUAUCUCAUAAAGUUUCUAGCAUUAACAUUUCUAAAAGUAAAUCCUGAUAAUACGUUUCAAAUCAAAUGUCCCAAGAAUACAUAUCUCCAACGUAAAAAUAUGGUAUAACAUUAAUAUAUGGUGUGAUAAUAUUUUUGCAAUUUCUCUAGCUUCUAACCAUUUCUUCCAUGCCCAGACUAAACACGUCGAAAUUGACUAUCAUUACAGUCGUGAAGUUGUCUUUGCUCAACUUAUCAAGAUUCAAGUCAAGAUCAAACAACAAACAUUCAUACAAAGUCUUUGUCCAGGCACAGAUUCUUAUAUCUUCAAUCCAAGCUUUCUCUUGGUCCCUUUGAUGGUUCCAAGUUCAGCUUGAGGGGGUGUAAAGAAGCUAAAGUAUAGUCAUCAAAGUGUUGAUAAAAGUUGGUUAGAGUUUGUUAGAGUCCUUUUGUAAAUUCUUAUUUUAGUUAAGGGUAUUAGUGUAAUCUGCUAGAAAGCCCAAGACUAUAUAUAUAACAAAUGCAAGCCUUUAAGGGAAGGGUCCCAUUUUUCAAAAAAAAUUAAGGACAACCUCUUGACCGUUAGAUUUAACUUUAAUGAAAUUCUGUGGUUGAAAUUUUGUGGCCUGUAAUUUAAUCUCAACCACAGAAUUUCAUUAAAACCAAAUUUAACGGUUAAGGGGUGUCUCCAUUUUUUUUUAAAUGAGGAUCCCUUCUCUUAAAGGGCCUGUAUAACAAAUACUAUUGUAAUUAUUCAUUGUAUUGAAAGAAAGAUGAAUGUUUAGUUUCUAUAACUGACACACCCCGACCUGGAAUGUCUGCUAGGAUUCCGAAUCGAGGUGUGCUGGCUGACACCUAGAAGGUGACGAAGCCAUAAAUUGUGAUGAUGUGGAAAAAUGUGAAUAAAUUUAAACCUAAGAGUGCCUAAAUACCAGAGUUCACUGGUGAGCGGGAAUGAACCCACUUCACAUGUGACAUUAGAGCAUAAGCAAGUACAGAAUAGUGAAUUAAGAAUCGUACCCUCGAAAUAAUCUCCAAUACUAAGAAUCGCCACGAAUCUUGGACGAUAAGAAAGCUUAACUAAUAAGACCUGGAGGGUGAAGACAAGAUAAGAGUGAGUGGCCCUGUAAAUAAAAUUAUAAUAGAACCCAUAUAAAACAUUAUAACCCCUCGCUACAACACCUGUAUAAUAUCCAGAAAAUAUCAUAAAUAUACCACGAUACGGCAUCUAGUCAGCAAUAUCAAAUAAUCAUGUGAUUAAUAACUCAUACUAGUACGCAAGUCGGAAUCACCUAUGGUGACCUGUAUGACUUACUCAUAUCUCAUCACAUAUACUAGUUCAUCAUAUAUUUCAUCACAUAUGCUAGCUUAUCACAUAUUCAUCACAUAUGCUAGCUCAUCACAUAUUCAUCACAUAUGCUACAUAUUCAUCACAUGUGAUAUGCUAGUUUAUCACAUAUUCAUCACAUAUGCUAGCUCAUCUUAUCACAUAUUCAUCACAUAUGCUAGCUCAUCACAUAUUCAUCACAUAUACUAGCUCAUCACAUAUUCUUCACAUAUGCUAGCUUAUCAAUCGGAGUCACCUCUAGUGACCUAUACAACUUAUCCAUAUCUCCUCAUAUAUCUCAUUAAUCAUUGCUAGCAUAUAAGUCGGAGUCAUCUAUAGUGACUUGUACAACAUAUUCGUAUCUCAUCGCAUAUGCAAAUGAUAUGUCAGCCGGAUCCACCUCUUGUGGCAUAUACAGCUAAGUCUAUAGCUCAUAUCUCAAUCUAGUCGGAGUCACCUCUAGUGACCUAUACGGCACUACGCCUGCAUACGAGUCGGAACCACUGUAGUGGUAUGUACGACAGGACUAGGUGUAAAUGAAUACGCUCAAGUGCUACGAUCACGUGAAGAGUCACCUACGUGUCAGAAUCACCUAUAGUGGUCUGUACGACAGACCUGUGCACUUACCUUGAAUUCAAGGUAAGCGUAUGGUGCGAGAGGUGAACAUUACGUGAAGGAUUGUGCCCUAGCCAAGGGCGGGAGCACUAACACCGAGGUGCAGGUUUAUGAGCUUUAAAUGCAUCUAAUACAACAUGUAUGACUCAUAAGCAACCUGUAUGACAAUGCCGAAGUUGUCUACUAUUGCAAUCUGUGCGACAAUGUCGAAGUUGCUUAAAAUAUAAUUGUAGUCAUACCAUAACCCCAUCAGUUCAACUUAUACCGUAUUCUUACCUAGACUUACCUGAACUUACAUGAACUUACCUGCUAUGUUCUGCUUUCCUUCUUGCACUCUAAAGCGUUCACAAUAAUUUUGUGAAAGGAAUAUACAUAUGGAUAUAUCAGGAUGUAAUUCUGAAUUUCAACCAUACCAUAAUAUUUCCAGAUAUAUAAACACAUAAACAAAUGGCUUAAAAUGCAAUAAUUGUAACGCCCCACUCUCGAACCAUUUACUUUUGAGAAUAAUUAUCAGUGAUAAGCCUAAUUAGACACUAGUUUAAUUAACUAACAUUACUUACAUUUCCUUACUUUAAUUCCUUGAUUCUUCACACAUUGAUUUAGGAACGACAAUUAACUACCAAAUCAUAAGAUUAAUUCUCACAUUUUCCACCAAUGUCCCUCACAUUGUUCAAUUCCCCAAAUAAGGCUAUUGUCCCAAUUAUUUAGUCUCAUUUAUUAUAUGGCUGCAUCUAACAUCUUUUUAAACUACCUACGUACCCUAAACAGGGAUCAAGUCUUUCUUAGUUCGCAUUAGUAUGUCAAAGCAUUCACAGUAAUCAUAGGUAAUAAUUAAUUUAUAAACAUUUAUGGAAUUAUCAAUUAUAUAUAUAUAUAUAUACACACACACACGAUAGGAAGGAAAAGACCCACUCACCUAAGGUCCGCACUACGACUCCCUAGCACACAUAUGGAGACAUCACGAACCAUCACUGCCUGUGACCAAGGCCAAUUUGGCCUGGAAAGGCUCCAAUUUCCCUCAAAUCCACCGAGAACCCUAGAAAUGGGUAUUCUUGAUUUGUCCCCAAUUCGACUCCAACGUUCCAACCAAUGAUUGGGCAUUGUUCUAGGCCUCAAGGGAAGUCUAUUGGUGGUGACAAUUGGAAGAAAUUGCUUCAGAAAUGGGAGAAUUGACACAAAACCCGUCAGUGUCACCAUCGCCAAAUGUCACGGAUUUGACCCAAUUUCCAUCGAAUCUCGAUAGAAGAAUGAAGGGGAAGAGGUAUGGUGAUGAUUACAGGUGGAAAUGGGGUGAAAUUCGCCUGAAAAACGGCUUGGAAACGCCGGAAUUCCACCGUCUUCGAAACCGUGUUGGGUGCGGGUUCAAGGGAUCCAGCCGAUCCUCUCCUUUUCUUUCUCCCUCAUUUCCCUUCUUUCCUUCUUCUAGUUGGUCACGCCCUUCCUCUCUCCUCUCCUCACUCAGCCUCUCCUUCAAUUUUCCAGAUUGGGCAGCUUUGCCCAAUCCCUUUCUAUCCUCUUUUUUCUUCCUCUCUACGCCUUCAUCUUUCUUUUUC